AGAUUGAACGCUGGCGGCAGGCCUAACACAUGCAAGUCGAGCGGUAGAGAGGUGCUUGCAUCUCUUGAGAGCGGCGGACGGGUGAGUAAUGCCUAGGAAUCUGCCUAGUGGGUGGGGGAUAACGUUCGGAAACGGACGCUAAUACCGCAUACGUCCUACGGGAGAAAGCGGGGGACCUUCGGGCCUCGCGCCAUUAGAUGAGCCUAGGUCGGAUUAGCUAGUUGGUGAGGUAAUGGCUCACCAAGGCGACGAUCCGUAACUGGUCUGAGAGGAUGAUCAGUCACACUGGAACUGAGACACGGUCCAGACUCCGUACGGGA
rnacentral:rRNA from 1 species